UGAGCAAUCUGCCCUUCACAUCGGAAUAACCAUUGGAAACGAUGGCUAAUACCGAAUAUGACUUCGGAUCGCAUGAUCUGAAGUGGAAAGCUCCGGCGGAGAAGGAUGAGCUCGCGGCCUAUCAGCUAGUUGGUGUGGGUAAUGGCCCACAAGGCGACGACGGGUAGCCGGCCUGAGAGGGUGACCGGCCACACUGGGACUGAGACACGGCCCAGAUCCGUACGGG
rnacentral:rRNA from 1 species